AUUGAACGCUGGCGGCAUGCCUUACACAUGCAAGUCGAAUGGUAGAGUAGCAAUACUUGAGAGUGGCGAACGGGUGAGUAAUAUAUCGGAACGUGCCCAGUCGUGGGGGAUAACGUAGAGAAAUUUACGCUAAUACCGCAUACGAUCUAAGGAUGAAAGCGGGGGAUUCGCAAGAACCUCGCGCGAUUGGAGCGGCUGAUAUCAGAUUAGGUUGUUGGUGAGGUAAAAGCUCACCAAGCCGACGAUCUGUAGCUGGUCUGAGAGGACGACCAGCCACACUGGGACUGAGACACGGCCCAGACUCCUACGGGAGGCAGCAGUGGGGGAAUUUUUGGACAAUGGGCGCAAGCCUGAUCCAGCAAUGCCGCGUGCAGGAUGAAGGCCUCGGUUGUAACG
rnacentral:rRNA from 1 species